rnacentral:lncRNA from 1 species
GCAGACAGAAGAAAAGAAAAAGAUAAGCAAAAAGAACAAGCCAGUCAAUCCAGUCAAUACAGUCAACCCCAGUCACACAGAGUACUCCCCUCAUCCAUGAACCCAUCCAAAACAGAGUCACCAUCACAGAUUGUCCCCUACCCGGGAUGUUCUCCAAUUCAAAUAAGCAAUAGAUUCGCCAGUCUGGGCCAAAUUCGUCCCAGCUUCCAGUCUGCCCUAAUAUUCAGUCAUGAUCCUUUCUAGGAUAUCACCCAG